rnacentral:rRNA from 1 species
CUCAGGAUGAACGCUAGCGGCAGGCUUAAUACAUGCAAGUCGUGGGGCAGCAUGAGUAGCAAUACUUGAUGGCGACCGGCAAACGGGUGAGGAACACGUACACAACCUUCCUUCAGCGGGGAAUAGCCCAGAGAAAUUUGGAUUAAUACCCCAUAAUAUAUUUGAUAAGGCAUCUUAUUAAUAUUAAAGCUUCGGCACUUGAUGAUGGGUGUGCGGCUGAUUAGAUAGUUGGCGGGGUAACGGCCCACCAAGUCUACGAUCAGUAGCUGAUGUGAGAGCAUGAUCAGCCACACGGGCACUGAGACACGGGCCCGACUCCUACGGGAGGCAGCAGUAAGGAAUAUUAGACAAUGGACGAAAGUCUGAUCCAGCCAUGCCGCGUGAAGGAUUAAGGUCCUCUGGAUUGUAAACUUCUUUUAUAUGGGACGAAAAAAGGGCAUUCUUGUUCACUUGACGGUACCAUAUGAAUAAGCACCGGCUAACUCCGUG